AUUGAACGCUGGCGGCAGGCCUAACACAUGCAAGUCGAGCGGGGUUUUCGGACCUAGCGGCGGACGGGUGAGUAAUGCGUAGGAAGCUACCCGAUAGAGGGGGAUACCAGUUGGAAACGACUGUUAAUACCGCAUAACGUCUACGGACCAAAGUGUGGGACCUUCGGGCCACAUGCUAUCGGAUGCGCCUACGUGGGAUUAGCUAGUUGGUGGGGUAAUGGCUCACCAAGGCGACGAUCCCUAGCUGGUUUGAGAGGAUGAUCAGCCACACUGGAACUGAGACACGGUCCAGACUCCUACGGGAGGCAGCAGUGGGGAAUAUUGGACAAUGGGCGCAAGCCUGAUCCAGCCAUGCCGCGUGUGUGAAGAAGGCCUUCGGGUUGUAAAGCACUUUCAGUAGGGAGGAAGAGUUGAGUGUUAAUAGUACUCAGCUUUGACGUUACCUACAGAAGAAGCACCGGCUAACUCUGUGCCAGCCGCCGCCGUAACAC
rnacentral:rRNA from 1 species